rfam:Schistosoma mansoni strain Puerto Rico chromosome 2, complete genome
AUCCAGCUGACGAGUCCCAAAUAUGACGAAACGCACGUCGUGGAU